ACUAUUUCAAACUUACAAAAUAUAAUAAUCACAUAUAAAUAAUCUCAAAACGAACAACAGGGGGAGAUCCUUAUUUCCACCAAAACAAUUACAUCAAAAAUAAAUAAAAAAAGAAAUGCAAAUGAUUGGUAAAAUAACCUUAGCUUAGAUCAAUACAGCCAAAGCCGCCGCCACUGCCACAGUGGCCCAUCCACCGCCAACCAUAACACCAGCAUUAUCAUCAGCAGCCUUCUGAUCUGCCGGCGACUCCUCCGGCCCCGAUGGUGCCGGCGGCGAAGCAGUACUCUUAUGAUGCGGCUUCGCCUUCUUCGGGCUCUCCGCCGCCGGAGCCGGUGCCAGCGCCUGCGCCUCCGCCUUAAACAGCUCCCGUGGCUCGAGCACCUUGUCAAUGGAGUAUACUGCCAGCUGGUCCUGAUCGAUUAGGGUUGUGGUAACGCUGGCAGUAUUAAUCUUGGUUUUUAUAGUGACUUUCUCGCCGUUGUCCUGGAUGGUGUACUUGUAGUUCUUCGAACUGCCAUCACCGGCGAGAGUGUCGACGACGCCAUUGUCGGUCUUCAGCAUCUGUAAAGAGAAGUAGAUGGGGACGGCGUGGUAGAGGAGGAGGACAGUCUUGUUGCCGGCGGUGAGGUUUUUGUAUUUCGGGGCGAAGGCGGUUACAGCUUUGUCAAUAGGGCAGAAUGCGGUGAGGCCGCCGUCGACGUUGGCUUGGUAGGUGGUGAGCACGUCGGGGUUGGCUUCGAGGAGACCAGCGUAGAGCUUGCAGCCCUUGGCGGACAUGAGGCCGGUGAGGUUGACAGGGGCCGGGGCGGCGGUGGGGGCCUCGGCUUCUGGCGAGGUGAGGGUAGUGGAGAUUUGUAUGACAGAGAGAUUGUAGGGUUGUUCUUUUAUAGUUUUUACGAAUGCGGCUGGUGCGGCGUCGCCGGCAUCCUGGGCGGCGAAGGUGACGCGGCCGGCGCGGUGGUCGGUGAUGUUCACGUAGCCGGUGGUGCCCGGGGCGGCGCCGGUGGCUUGGAACAUGGAGGAGGAGACGGUGGAUCCACCGGUGAGUUGGUGGAGCUUUUUGGCGCCGUAGUAGUCGACGAGGAUAUGGAGGAGGAGGACGUUUUUGAGGGUGCCGGGUGAGAGGUGUUUGGCGAGGAGCGAGGACAUGCCGGCGUUAUCGACGGCGAGGACGGUGAUGGUGAGGCGGCGGUUGAUCUCGGAGGCAAGGUGGGUGGUGGUGAGGUAGUGGUUGAAGGUGGAGAACUCGGGGUGUUGGGCGAGGAUUUUGGUGAUGUUGUGGGCGUGGGUGAGGGUGGCAGAGGUGGCCAAGAGGGCAAGGAGGAGGAGGAGGGGCUGCAUUGUGGCGGCGGUGGUGGCGGCACUGGAGGAGGGAUGAGAGAGAAAGAGUG
rnacentral:misc_RNA from 1 species